GAGGGGUAUAGUAGCAAUACUAGAGACCGGCGCACGGGUGCGUAACGCGUAUGCAAUCUACCUUUUACAGAGGGAUAGCCCAGAGAAAUUUGGAUUAAUACCUCAUAGUAUUAUUAAAUGGCAUCAUUUUAUAAUUAAAGUCACAACGGUAAAAGAUGAGCAUGCGUCCCAUUAGCUAGUUGGUAAGGUAACGGCUUACCAAGGCAACGAUGGGUAGGGGUCCUGAGAGGGAGAUCCCCCACACUGGUACUGAGACACGGACCAGACUCCUACGGGAGGCAGCAGUGAGGAAUAUUGGUCAAUGGACGCAAGUCUGAACCAGCCAUGCCGCGUGCAGGAUGACGGUCCUAUGGAUUGUAAACUGCUUUUGUACAGGAAGAAACAUCUCUACGUGUAGAGACUUGACGGUACUGUAAGAAUAAGGAUCGGCUAACUCCGUGCCAGCAGCCGCGGUAAUACGGAGGAUCCAAGCGUUAUCCGGAAUCAUUGGGUUUAAAGGGUCCGUAGGCGGCUUAGCAAGUCAGUGGUGAAAUCUCCCCGCUCAACGGGGAAACGGCCAUUGAUACUACUAGGCUUGAAUUAUUAGGAAGUAACUAGAAUAUGUAGUGUAGCGGUGAAAUGCUUAGAUAUUACAUGGAAUACCAAUUGCGAAGGCAGGUUACUACUAAUUGAUUGACGCUGAUGGACGAAAGCGUGGGGAGCGAACAGGAUUAGAUACCCUGGUAGUCCACGCCGUAAACGAUGGAUACUAGCUGUUGGGAGCAAUCUCAGUGGCUAAGCGAAAGUGAUAAGUAUCCCACCUGGGGAGUACGUUCGCAAGAAUG
rnacentral:rRNA from 1 species